AUCUCUGUCCUUUUUUCAGGAAGGUCUGGUCCUCGGUUCCUUCUCCUACGGCUACGCACUGACGCAGCUAACUAUAUGAAUACCACAGGGAUCUGUCUGUGGUUUAGUCAUACCGGUACCUCCUUAGGCCUAUUCAUGUUAAGGCUGCUUAGUCAAGUAUUUUAAUCAUUCCGUGUUUGUUCGUAAUUAUUCUUGUUAUGGCAGUGGUCCUGGUCUUUUACUAAAAAGUAAAACUGCAAGGCAGCAGUUCCUUCCAUAGUUAUUGGGAGUAGACCUAGCCUUUUACUAAAAAAGAAGAUUGCAUGGCAGCAGCUGUCCUUUUAGUCGCCUUUUGCGACACGCAGGACCUACGGUGGUAGCAUUCUUACAUCCCUACCACAGGGUGGUUUCUUUUGUUCUGUACUGUGAGACGAUUUUUCUGUUGCCACGUACUCAUCUCAAUCACUACAGGUCCUUGGAGGUCGCUUGGCGUAGAUGUAUGGAGCCCGGAUGGUCUAUGGCGUUUGCAUCCUGGGUGGUGGAAUUGCUGCUCUUAUCUCUCCUGUCAUGGCGAGGUGGCAUUAUGGGGCUUUGAUCGCUCUUCGUAUAAUCCACGGAAUGUUUCAGGGAGUCUCUUGGCCCUACAUGCAUGCUUGCAUCACGCGCUGGAUCCUUCCGAUCGAAAGACCAAGGUUUGUCGCCAUUGUUUAUCUUGCUGCCACUUUGAGCUCAGCCAUGAUAAUGCCCCUGUGUGGGGUCAUUAUCGACAACCACGGAUGGGCGUCCCAGUUCUACGUCAUGGGCGCCCUCUCCCUCCUGUGGUGCUGCGUCUGGUUCAACUUCAUGCAUAACUCCCCCGAGGAGCAUCCCAGAAUCAGCGUCCGAGAACUGCAGUGCAUAAGAACAGCCCUGAAGGAAAGUGGCACGAAGAGCAGCGCUUCCAGGAGGGUCCCCUGGAAGGAGAUCUUCUCCAGCCUUCCAGUGUGGGCCAUCUUUGCCGGCUGCACUGGAAACGGCUGGGGCAUUUCUCUCCUCUUCGCUCAGCUUCCGACCUACAUGAAGAACGUCUUGGGAUUUUCCAUCAGGAAUAACGGAACUUUAUCCACAGCUCCUUUCCUCUGUAGCUACAUAGGGGGCAUCUUUUGGAAUUCUUUGUCCAGCUGGCUUAUAUCCCGAAAUUACCUCUCCAUCACGAAUUGCAGAAGGAUCUUUGGCGUGCUAGGAAUCCAUGGAAGCCUGGCAGAGAGUCUUCUGGAUCUGCGUCCCAAUACACUUCAUCACGGCCAUCUUCUACCUGUUCCUCGUCACGGGAGAGAUCCAGCCUUGGAAUGACGUCGAGUUUGUGAAAGUAUCUCCCUCUUCGUCUUCCAGUACUUCUUCUCCAAAAACAAAGACGCGUCGCUGCUGACUUACGUAUAUAAAAAAAAUGGUUAUUCAGCAUUGGGACCAACGGUUUGACGUGACUUCCGAACCUCGUCGAGAGUGAACUUCUAUCACCAGAAAUACUACACAUCUCUCACACCUCAGUGGAUUGCCCGAGAAUCAAACUCGCGGCCACCGAGGUGGCAGGCAAAGACCAUACCAACUACGCCACUGAGGCACUAAUGAUGAAAUAUAAGAAAUAUCCAAUUAAUCAAAAAAGAAUAAAUUUAGCUUAAUAAUACAAUAAACUUCAGUUUAGUAAUACAAGAAAGUUUAGCUUAGUAAUACAAUAAACUUUGGCUUUGUAAUACAAUAAACUUUAGCUUAGUAAUACAAUAGACCUCAGCUCUGUGAUGCAGUAAACUUUAGCUUAGUAAUACAAUAAACUUCAGCUUAGUAAUACAAGAAACUUCAGUUUAGUAAGACAAUAAACUUCAGUUUAGUUAUACAAUAAACUUUAGCUUAGUAAUCCAAUAAACUUCAGUAUAGUAAUACAAUUAAACUUUAGCUUAGUAAUACAAAAAAGGAAAACGCAUUUGGAUGACAUUAAAUGACGAUCGGAAGUAACCGAAGCUCGAUUUGCAUCGCAAAGCUAUGUUAAAUGUCGUCCUUUCUGGUGAUGGAAGUCGAAAAAAUGCCCAUUCCGAAAAUUACCCAUUCCAUUUUCAGGUCAAAGCGAGAAAAACUCAGUUAGCAUUACAAAGACAAGUGUAUUAACAUACGCGCUACAAAGACGCGUAAAGAUUUAAAAGAGUUCACAGCAUUGUUUAAAAAAAAAAAAAAAAAAAAAAAAAAAAAAAAAAAAUUACUACAAAAGUGAGAAAUGAUAAUGCCUGCACUUGUAGUGCAGUUGAAUACUAAAUUCCCAACUGUAUCUUAUCGUAAAAAAAAAGAAAAAAGUCUUACUGCAAAAGGGAGGACUGUCAAUGCCUGCAUUUGCAAUACAGUUGAAUACUAAAUUCCCAACUGUAUUUAAAGUAUCUCAUAUGCUGGGUGAUCUAUGGGAGUGUUUUGAUUCUAUGUUCAAUGCCUGCACUUGUACAAUAAAGUACUACUUUCCCAACUGUAUUUAAAGUAUCUCAUGUGUUGGGUGAUCUAUGGAAGUGUUUUGCUUAUAUGCGAGUAUGACAGAUUCUCAAACAUUCCUGAGUUCCUCACUGAACGAGUGGGUCCCUCACUUAACUAUCAAUCUGGUAGCCCGAGUUCGCCUCCUGCGACUACUAACGCAGAAGAUCUAGAGGAAAUCAUUUCUCGAUAUAAUGUGAUUCGGAUCCCACAUUCAUAAGCUGUAGGUCCCGUUGCUAAAAUAAAAUUUGAAAAAAUAUAUAUGUGAUCCUUCGGACCAGCCUUACGGGGAGCUGUUAAUCAGCUCAGCGGUCUGGAACAACUAAGAUAUACU